UACAGAGGGUGCAAGCGUUGUUCGGAAUUAUUGGGCGUAAAGCGCGUGUAGGCGGCUUUGCAAGUCGGGUGUGAAAGCCCUCAGCUCAACUGAGGAAGUGCGCCCGAAACUGCAAAGCUUGAGUACCGGAGAGGAUGGCGGAAUUCCCCAAGUAGAGGUGAAAUUCGUAGAUAUGGGGAGGAACACCGGUGGCGAAGGCGGCCAUCUGGACGGAUACUGACGCUGAGACGCGAAAGCGUGGGGAGCAAACAGG
rnacentral:rRNA from 1 species